UACAGAGGGUGCAAGCGUUGUUCGGAAUUAUUGGGCGUAAAGGGCGCGUAGGUGGCGCGGGAAGUCAACGGUGAAAGUUCGGGGCUCAACCCUGAAUCGGCCGUCGAUACUCCCGGGCUCGAGCACUGUAGAGGCAGAUGGAAUUCCGGGUGUAGCGGUGGAAUGCGUAGAGAUCCGGAAGAACACCGGUGGCGAAGGCGGUCUGCUGGGCAGUUGCUGACACUGAGGCGCGACAGCGUGGGGAGCAAACAGG
rnacentral:rRNA from 1 species